GUCUUGCUGGGAGAUAGCGCUUACCCUUGCCUCCCGUGGCUUUUAACGCCAAUUGCGGCUCCUGCGACUGACGAAGAGAGAAGGUACAACUCGGCACAUGCUAAGACACGCGUGAUAAUAGAGAAUACUAUCGGCGCCCUUCGGAUGAGGUUCCAGGCGCUAGACACGAAAAAGAUGCGGCUGAAAAAGAUCGAGUCAUGCGUACGCGUCACCAUCGCGUGCGCAAUUUUACAUAACGUAUGCCAGAGUACCGGAGACGACGGCCGAUGGCUGGCUGAGGAGGCGGGCGCGGCGGUAGUGGCGGCAAUCCAGCACCGAGCGGGCGAGGCCGGUGACCAAGAUCAACCCACGGGCCAGGGGCUGGAUGCGACCACACAGCGGCGCGCCGGUCAGGCCAGACGAAAUGAGUUUGUUCGCCUGUUCCGGGAAUAGAAACUCAGUCAACCAUACCAACAAGGCUCUUCAUUUUUCAUCUGUUUGUGUCUGUUUUGACAACGUUUGAGAGUUAAUGCGGCAUUGCAGUGUGCGCGGCUGUUCGUGUUUUGUGUAUGCGAUUGAAUGCAUCCCGCUGAGUUGUUGUAAUGCUAUUGAAUUGUCGUAACCUUCCAAAUGA